UGAGCUGGUGGGUGCUGAUUUCAUAAUGAGCCCAAAGUCGAGGAGCGGGGUUAAGAAAACAGGGAGAGACAGAUGGGUCAGUUAACAAGAAGACAGACAAGAUAUGGCUGCUGAUGGCAGAAGUGGGCUUAAGGAGGAGAAGUCAGUGCUUCUCAUUUACAGGUCAAAGUACAUCUGGAAUUCCAUAUCAGAAAUGAUCAGAUGAAUCUCUCCAAAGUUAAACACAAACUUUCAGAUUCCUCAGAAGAGCCUGUUUUCCUCAUAUAUCAAAUGAAAAUAAUAACAGUAACUUACAUCAUAAAGCUCCCAUAAGAAAGAAAGAAGAAGAUCAUUGAAGAAUGCUUAGGACAAUGCCUGGCACAAAGUAUAGAACAAUACCACAGAACAAAAUUCAAAGUGCUUCCCUGCAGUCAGUGGAAUUCCCAAGCAUAAGUUUCUACCACAGUUUACCCGAAGCUUUCUCAGUUACUGAAAUAAUUUAUUUAUUUAAACAGGUAGCAAAAUAAUGAGUAAAUGAAAAAUGACUGUAACUGUUGAAUAAUGAGCCUAUUUGUAGAUGACUUUUUAAACAGCAAGUUUUUAUAGGUGAAAAUAAUUUCCAAUACAGAAGGCACCUGUCAGAUCAUUCUAUUAAAAAAAAAAUUUCUUUAAAAAACAAUCUUUCAAUACUGUAUAAUUUCUCACCUCACUGGUAAAAUUAGAAAUUGCAAGCAUUUUACCUUCUCUUUCCAAUGUAUUAAAAACAAGUAAAUGGUUAUUAAGUUAAACACCUAUUACUUUUCAUUCCUUUCUAGAAUGGCACCAUUCAUUUAAAUAAAAGAAUAAAAGGAAUAUUACCAUCCUUUACCAAUAACAUAACAUCUUUUAUCAGAUAUAACACAGUGGUUGCCUAUUGGCCACAUUCAGCCCAUUAUGUGUUUUGUUUGGAUCACUGUGUUUUUAUAAAAAAAUUUUAAUUACUUGCAACAUUUAGAAAUUCCAAGAUUACACACAGGAAUUCAGCUUCUGAGUUCUGAAAAUGUGAGAUACUGUAAUGAGGCCACAUUUUCAAAAGGUAACAACUGGGUAGGGCUGAGUAAGGUGAUACAUCUUUGCAAUUUAACCCAGUUCUAGCUCCAUACACUUUACUUAUUUAAAUUACCUGCCUGGACUUAAAUGAAGUUCUAAUCUUCAUUACAUAUAUCUCCUAUUUUAAAUCGAGUCCCCUCUUCUUACUCUCUUUAGCCCUUACUCUUGUUCUAUCUCUCUAGAUAGAGUGCAUCUAAUACUUCAGCAAAAAUUUUAAUUGAGGAGGUAAUUGGCUAUAAAAAGGUUGUCUCUAAUGAAAAAUAAAUGAUAGGCUAGCAUUCAAUAUCAACCUUGAAUCACAAAGUGCCAGCUUGUCUACACAGUUUGUACAAACAAUCCGGUUUAUGGAACAUUCCUGCUUUCUUUCUUGAGUUCUGCAGCUUCAAUAACAGUAAGAAUCCCAGACUUCCAGGCUCAUGUGAACUUCCCUAGUACACAACACUUGGCACAUGUUGUCAAAAUUUGUUGGUGGAGGAAUUAAGCUCCUAUACAGUUCUACUGGGAAAGAACUCUGGGAAACUUGUGUCUGUUUCCUCCAUAGUUCUCCCCCUGAGCCUUCCCCUUUGUUGAUUUUGCACUGUAUCCUUUGCUGUAGUAAACCAAAACUCUGAGUAUAAGAACUUCUGACUCCUGUGAGUCCCUCUAGUGAAGCACUGAAGCUGGGAGUGGUCUUGGGGACCUCCAGCAGACCAAAAUUCCUAUCUCAUCAGUAACAGUUACUUACUAAGACAAAAGAGAGUACCAAAUAUCACACUUUUGCUGUAAGUCUAAAAAAAUUUUCAAAUCCUACUAACCAAAGUGUGCUAGGUAGAAUUCUAAGAUGGCCUUCAAGAUCCUUGUUCCCUGGUGUACAUACCUGGUAUAAUCCUCAGGAAUGUGAAUAUGAUGGAAUUUACUUCUGUGACCAGGUUAUGUAGAUGACCUUAUUUGUGAAAUAAGCCAGUCACAAAGGACAAAUAUCGUAUGAUGUCAUUUGUAUAAAAUAAUUAGACUGUGCAAAUUCAGAGUCAGGAAGUAGAGUGUAGGUUCCCAGGGGCUGGGAUGGGAGUGGGGAAUGUGGAGUUAAUGUUUAAUUGGUACAAAGUUUCUGUUUGGGACAAUGGAAGAGUUUUGUUAAUGGGUGGUGGUUAUGAUAGCACAAUAUCAAGGAUGUAAUUAACAUCACUGAAUUGUAUAUCUGAGGGCAGUUAGAAGGGAAAAUUUUAGGUUGUAUAUAUGUUACCAGAAUAAAAAUUUUU